AAGAUUUAACUUGUUAGUUCAACCACCAGUUGGUUGGAUUAAUUGGUUUUGAAUGCUUUAAAGUGGGAUCUACAGGUUAAGGAAAGAAAAUGAGGCUUCUAUGGACAAGUCAUGUUCAAAAGAAGCAAGGGUAUUUCUGUUGAUAUAUAUGUCUGUAAUAGCUUAGUGUUAGAUUAAUUUACCAUUUUGCAUAUUUUCUCCUAACAAAGGCAUGAUUUUUUAAC
rnacentral:lncRNA from 1 species